AUGUAUAGUACUUCUUAAAUAUUUCAAGAGCAUAAAUUGAAGGUGCACAAUUUCCUUUUUAUCUGUUUUGUUUUAUAUAUAUUGACAUGAACAUCCAAUAUUGUAUAGGCUAUAACUGUGAGUCAAGUUGUCAUGUUGUGUCUUGUCUCUGUCCUUUCCCUUCACCCUGUCUCCCUCUGCUGGUCGUUGUUAGGUUACCUUUUCUCCCCCGCUUUCUCCCAGCUGUUCCUUGUCUCCUCUAACUACCCAUUCACCCCGUUUCCCAUGCUGGUCGUUGUUAGGUUACCUUUUCUCCCCCGCUUUCUCCCAGCUGUUCCUUGUCUCCUCUAACUACCCAUUCACCCCGUUUCCCACCUGUUCCCUUUUUCCCUCUGAUUAGGUCCCUAUAUCUCUCUCUGUUUCUGUUCCUGUCCUUGUCGGAUUCUUGUUUGUGUUUCAUGCCUGAGCCAGACUAUCGUCAUGUUUGCUGUAACCUUGUCCUGUCCUGUCGGAAUCUGCCGGUCUAUCUGAGCCUACCUAUGUUUGGUUAUUAAAGAAGCUCUGUUUAAGUUAGUUCGCUUUUGGGUCCUCAUUCACUCACCAUAACACAAGUGCUUUAGUACAAAAAGAAGACAUAAUAUUAUAAAAACAAUUAUUUUAAUGGCUUUACUUCAUACAUACAGUUGAAUUCAGAAGUUUACAUACAAUUAGGUUGGAGUCAUUAAAACUCAUUUUUCAACCACUCCACAAAUUUCUUGUGAACAAACUAUAGUUUCGGCAAGUCGGUUAGGACAUAAACUGUGUGCAUGACACAAGUCAUUUUUCCAAAAAUGGUCGCAAUUCCAGUGGGUCAGAAGUUUACAUACACUAAGUUGACUGUGCUUUUAAACAGCUUGGAAAAUUCCAGAAAAUGUCAUGGCUUUGUAAGCUUCUGAUCGGCUAAUUGACAUCAUUUCAGUCAAUUGGAGGUGCACCUGUGGAUGUAUUUCAAGGCCUACCUUCAAACUCAGUGCCUCUGCUUGACAUCAUGGGGAAAUUAAAAGAAAUCAGCCAAGACCUCAGAAAAAAAAUUGUAGACCUCCACAAGUCUGGUUCAUAAUUUGGAGCAAAUUCCAAAUGACUGAAGGUACUACGUUCAUUUGUACAAACAUCAGUACGCAAAUAUAAACACCAUGGGACCACUCAGCCGCCAUACCGCUCAGAAUGGAGACGCAUUCUGUCUCCUGGAGAUGAACGUACUUUGGUGUGAAAAGUGCAAAUCAAUCCCAGAACAAGCGAAAAGGACCUUGUGAAGAUGCAUGAGGAAACCGGUACAAAAGUAUCUAUAUCCACAGUAAAACGACUCCUAUAUCGACAUAACCAGAAAGGCCGCUCAGCAAGGAAGAAGCCACUGCUCCAAAACCACCACAAAAAAGC
rnacentral:lncRNA from 13 species